CAGUCGCCGCGGUAAUACGAAGGGGGCUAGCGUUGUUCGGAUUAACUGGGCGUAAAGGGCGCGUAGGCGGGUCUUUAAGUCAGGGGUGAAAUCCCAAGGCUCAACCUUGGAACUGCCUUUGAUACUGGAGAUCUUGAGUCCGGGAGAGGUGAGUGGAACUGCGAGUGUAGAGGUGAAAUUCGUAGAUAUUCGCAAGAACACCAGUGGCGAAGGCGGCUCACUGGCCCGGUACUGACGCUGAGGCGCGAAAGCGUGGGGAGCAAACAGGAUUAGAUACCCCAGUAGUCCCUGUCUCUUAUAA
rnacentral:rRNA from 1 species